rnacentral:miRNA from 1 species
UUGCAAGUAUCCGGAUUUAAA